UUGGAGGGCAAGUCUGGUGCCAGCAGCCGCGGUAAUUCCAGCUCCAAUAGCGUAUAUUAAAGUUGUUGCAGUUAAAAAGCUCGUAGUUGAAUUUCGGGAUCAAUGUUUCGGUCAUGCCGUUGGUAUGUACUGAUAUUAUUGAUUUCUCACCUUCUAAAGAACCGUAAUGCCAUUAAUUUGGUGUCACGGGGAAUUAGGACUGUUACCUUGAAAAAAUUAGAGUGUUUAAAGCAGGCUCACGCUUGAAUACAUUAGCAUGGAAUAAUGAAAUAGGACAUCCGAUUCUAUUUUGUUGGUUUCUAGGAUCGAUGUAAUGAUUAAUAGGGAUAGUUGGGGGCAUUAGUAUUCAAUUGUCAGAGGUGAAAUUCUUGGAUUUAUUGAAGACUAACUACUGCGAAAGCAUUUGCCAAGGAUGUUUUCAUUAAUCAAGAACGAAAGUUAGGGGAUCGAAGACAAUCAGAUACCGUCGUAGUCUUAACCAUAAACUAUGCCGACUAGGGAUCGGAUGAUGUUAAUUUUUUAAUGACUCAUUCGGCGCCUUACGGGAAAC
rnacentral:rRNA from 1 species